CUCAAACUAGGGAUUUAUCCUCGAGUAGGUGGACUAACAAGCAAAUAAUUGCCACAAGACAAGUUGGACGUACAGGAAACGUAGGUGGUGAGAACCCAGCUCAGAAGAACUUACAUUCUAUAUGAUGCUUAAAUAGGUGGAUUAACAAACAAAUAGCUGCAACAAAACAAGAAGGUGGAACAGACAGGAACAGAAGGUGGUGAGGACCCAGCUCAAAAACGCUUACAUUU